rnacentral:piRNA from 2 species
UCUGAAACAGCCUCAGAGGAUUGUGA